GUUUGGAGUACAUACUUCUUUAUGUACCCAUAUGAACAUACAAUGCUAUGGAAUGUAAAGAAGUAUGUAUUUUUAUC
rnacentral:pre_miRNA from 17 species